UCACCAUCUUCUUUUUCUUCUUCUUCUUCUUCUUCUUCUUCUUCAUCCGUUUCAACUCCACGAGAACCUGGGACACGUCGUAAACGAGGCCUUGCACCUGAAGAG
rnacentral:ribozyme from 12 species